ACGGUCCUAAGGUAGCGAAAUUCCUUGUCGGGUAAGUUCCGACCUGCACGAAUGGUGUAACCAUGGCCACGCUGUCUCCACCCGAGACUCAGUGAAAUUGAAAUCGCAGUGAAGAUGCUGUGUACCCGCACCUAGACGGAAAGACCCCGUGAACCUUUACUACAGCUUGGCACUGAACAUUGAACCUACAUGUGUAGGAUAGGUGGGAGGCUUCGAAGCACAGUCGCUAGAUUGUGUGGAGCCGUCCUUGAAAUACCACCCUUGUAUGUUUGAUGUUCUAACAUUGGUCCCUUAUCGGGAUUAUGGACAGUGUCUGGUGGGUAGUUUGACUGGGGCGGUCUCCUCCCAAAUAGUAACGGAGGAGCACGAAGGUUAGCUAAUCACGGUCGGACAUCGUGAGGUUAGUGCAAUGGCAUAAGCUAGCUUAACUGCGAGACAGACACGUCGAGCAGGUACGAAAGUAGGUCAUAGUGAUCCGGUGGUUCUGUAUGGAAGGGCCAUCGCUCAACGGAUAAAAGGUACUCCGGGGAUAACAGGCUGAUACCGCCCAAGAGUUCAUAUCGACGGCGGUGUUUGGCACCUCGAUGUCGGCUCAUCACAUCCUGGG
rnacentral:rRNA from 1 species